rnacentral:rRNA from 1 species
UACGUAGGUCCUGAGCGUUGUCCGGAUUUAUUGGGCGUAAAGCGAGCGCAGGUGGUUUAUUAAGUCUGGUGUAAAAGGCAGUGGCUCAACCAUUGUAUGCAUUGGAAACUGGUAGACUUGAGUGCAGGAGAGGAGAGUGGAAUUCCAUGUGUAGCGGUGAAAUGCGUAGAUAUAUGGAGGAACGCCGGUGGCGAAAGCGGCUCUCUGGCCUGUAACUGACACUGAGGCUCGAAAGCGUGGGGAGCAAACAGG